rnacentral:rRNA from 1 species
CCUACGGGAGGCUGCAGUAGGGAAUCUUCCACAAUGGGCGGAAGCCUGAUGGAGCAAAGCCGCGUGGGUGAAGAAGGUCUUCGGAUCGUAAAACCCUGUUGUUAGAGAAGCAAGUGCGUGAGAGUAACUGUUCACGUUUCGACGGUAUCUAACCAGAACGCCACGGCUAACUACGUGCCAGCAGCCGCGGUAAUACGUAGGUGGCAAGCGUUAUCCGGAUUUAUUGGGCGUAAAGGGAACGCAGGCGGUCUUUUAAGUCUGAUGGGAAAGCCUUCGGCCUAACCGGAGUAGUGCAUUGGAAACUGGGAGACUUGAGUGCAGACAAGGAGAGUGGAACUCAAGGUGUAGCGGUGAAAUGCGUAGAUAUAUGGAAGAACACCAGUGGCGAAAGCGGCGCUCUGGUCUGUAACUGACGCUGAGGUUCGAAAGCGCGGGUAGCAAACAGGAUUAGAUACCCUUGUAGUC